GCCCACGUAGCUCAGUCGGUAGAGCGUCGCCUUGGUAAGGCGGAGGUCACCGGUUCAAGCCCGGCCGUGGGCUCCA
rnacentral:tRNA from 2 species